CCGGUCCCAUCCCGAACCCGGAAGCUAAGACCCGCAGCGCCGAUGGUACUGCACCCGGAAGGGUGUGGGAGAGUAGGACACCGCCGGAC
rnacentral:rRNA from 1 species